CAACGGCCGUACUAUGCUGAAUAUACCAGUUCUCGUUAGAUCAUCGAAGUCAAGCAUCAUUGGGAGCGGUCAGUACUUGGGUGGGUA